rnacentral:rRNA from 1 species
GAUCCUGGCUUAGGAUGAACGCUGGCGGCGUGCCUAAUACAUGCAAGUCGAUCGAGGGAGACUUAGCUUGCUAAGUCGAACUAGAGGCGAACGGGUGAGUAAUACAUAAGCAACCUGCCCACGAAGACUGGGAUAAUACCCUGGAAACGGGGACUAAUACCGGAUAGGUAACCGGACCGCAUGAUCUGGUUAUUAAGGUUAAAAACACUGGUGGAUGGGCUUAUGGCGCAUUAGUUAGUUGGUGAGGUAACGGCUCACCAAGACGAUGAUGCGUAGCCGGCCUGAGAGGGUGAACGGCCACAUUGGGACUGAGACACGGCCCAGACUCCUACGGGAGGCAGCAGUAGGGAAUUUUCGGCAAUGGGGGAAACCCUGACCGAGCAACGCCGCCGUGAGUGAUGACGGCCUUCGGGUUGUAAAGCUCUGUUGUAAGGGAAGAAUGGUACGGAGAGAAUCCGUAAAUGACGGUACCUUACCAGAAAGCCACGGCUAACUACGUGCCAGCCGCCGC